rnacentral:rRNA from 1 species
UACGUAGGGGGCAAGCGUUGUCCGGAUUCAUUGGGCGUAAAGAGCGUGUAGGCGGCCAGGUAGGUCGGUUGUGAAAACUGGAGGCUCAACCUUCAGAGGUCGACCGAAACCAUCUGGCUAGAGUCCGGGAGAGGAGAGUGGAAUUCCUGGUGUAGCGGUGAAAUGCGCAGAUAUCAGGAAGAACACCCGUGGCGAAAGCGGAUCUCUGGAACGGUACUGACGCUGAGACGCGAAAGCGUGGGGAGCGAACAGG